rnacentral:misc_RNA from 1 species
CGAGGACAAUCCGGCCUAUCUCAUCAAGCAGGAUGACGGAGACCAGGUGCUCAAGCUGGGUUCGGAACUGAGCAAGGGGUAAGGCCAUGCCAGCCAAGUCCAAGGCACAGCAGAAGGCGGCCGGCGCGGCGCUGUCGGCCAAGCGCGGCGAUACCAAGGUCUCCGACCUGCAGGGCGCCUCCAAAUCGAUGUAUGAUUCGAUGUCGGAAAAGGAGCUGGACGAGAUGGCCAGCACCAAGCGCAAGGGCAAGCCGGAGCACAAGGGCGACGACUGAACGCGGCAGCUCGACCCGUCCGCAACCCGUGAAGCCCCUGCCGGGAACGCCCGGCGGGGGCUUCGGCUUUCUAGGUGCAGGAAGUGCUACGACGAGGAGCCGCGAGACAGUGGACGAAGACGAUAAGGAAGCAGCCUACCAGGAAUUCGGCGCCUGCGUGAACAUGGC